UCUUGGUCAUUUAGAGGAAGUAAAAGUCGUAACAAGGUCUCCGUUGGUGAACCAGCGGAGGGAUCAUUACUGAGUUACCGCUCAUAACCCUUUGUGAACAUACCUUUAACUGUUGCUUCGGCGGGUAGACGGCCUCGUGAAACGGGCCUCUCCCGGCCGCCCGUCCGCGGGUGGCGCCCGCCGGAGGAUAACCAAACUCUGAUUUAACGACGUUUCUUCUGAGUGGCACAAGUAUAAUAAUCAAAACUUUUAACAACGGAUCUCUUGGUUCUGGCAUCGAUGAAGAACGCAGCGAAAUGCGAUAAGUAAUGUGAAUUGCAGAAUUCAGUGAAUCAUCGAAUCUUUGAACGCACAUUGCGCCCGCCAGCAUUCUGGCGGGCAUGCCUGUUCGAGCGUCAUUUCAACCCUCAAGCACCGCUUGGUUUUGGGGCCCUACGGUUGACGUAGGCCCUUAAAGGUAGUGGCGGACCCUCCCGGAGCCUCCUUUGCGUAGUAACAUAUCGUCUCGCACUGGGAUUCGGAGGGACUCUUGCCGUAAAACCCCCAAUUUUCUAAAGGUUGACCUCGGAUCAGGUAGGAAUACCCGCUGAACUUAAGCAUAUCAAUAAGCGGAGGA
rnacentral:rRNA from 1 species